rnacentral:hammerhead_ribozyme from 1 species
AUCCAGCUGACGAGUCGCAAACAGGUAGAAACGAGCGUCCUGUAU